AGGAGCAGCUCCUCUAGAAGUGUUUCCUUCACACAAUGUUUGGAUUCUAAUGCUGUACCUGGCCUAACUGUAUCCCUAAAAAGGGCUGGCAGGAAAGAAUGUCCUAAGGUCCUCCAGAAAGAAGGACUAUGGGUCAGGAGAAGGAAGCUCAGAAUCGACGAGGGACAAAAGAUAUUUACUGACUACACUAUUUGUCAAAUACUGAGCCUUCUCUCAUUUAAUCAUCUCAGUGACCGUGAGACUUAGUCCAGGAAGAUCCCACAUGCCGCAAAGCAGCUGAGCCUGGGCCUCACAGCUCCUGAGCCUGCGCUCCAGAGCCUGCAAGCUACAGCUAGAGCCUGCACUCUCCAACGAGAGAAGCCACUACAAGAAGAAGCCCACAUGGCAAAGAAGACCCAGCGCAGCCAAAAAGAAACAUAAAUAAAAAUUUUAAAAAUUAUCAUA
ensembl:lncRNA